rnacentral:rRNA from 1 species
CGUCCGUAGCCGGCCCAGUAAGUCCCCCGGGAAAUCUGGUCGCUUAACGAUCAGACUUCCGGGGGAUACUGCUGGGCUAGGGACCGGGAGAGGCCGAGGGUAUUCCCGGGGUAGGGGUGAAAUCCUGUAAUCCCGGGAGGACCACCUGUGGCGAAGGCGCUCGGCUGGAACGGGUCCGACGGUGAGGGACGAAGGCCUGGGGAGCGAACCGGAUUAGAUACCCGGGUAGUCCAGGCUGUAAACGAUGCGGGCUAGGUGUCACCGGAGCUACGAGCUCCGGUGGUGCCGGAGGGAAGCCGUUAAGCCCGCCGCCUGGGAAGUACGGCCGCAAGGCUGAAACUUAAAGGAAUUGACGG